GUGGGGAAUUUUGGACAAUGGGCGCAAGCCUGAUCCAGCCAUGCCGCGUGCGGGAAGAAGGCCUUCGGGUUGUAAACCGCUUUUGGCAGGAACGAAACGGCGACUCCUAACACGGGUCGCUAAUGACGGUACCUGCAGAAUAAGCACCGGCUAACUACGUGCCAGCAGCCGCGGUAAUACGUAGGGUGCAAGCGUUAAUCGGAAUUACUGGGCGUAAAGCGUACGCAGGCGGCUUUGCAAGACAGGUGUGAAAUCCCCGGGCCUAACCUGGGAACUGCAUUUGUGACUGCAUGGCUAGAGUCUGUCAGAGGGGGGUGGAAUUCCACGUGUAGCAGUGAAAUGCGUAGAGAUGUGGAAGAACACCGAUGGCGAAGGCAGCCCCCUGGGAUAAGACUGACGCUCAUGUACGAAAGCGUGGGGAGCAAACAGGAUUAGAUACCCGGGUAGUCC
rnacentral:rRNA from 1 species